GAUCAUGGCUCAGAACGAACGUUAGCGGCGCGCCUAACACAUGCAAGUCGAGCGAGAAAGGGCUUCGGCCCCGGUAAAGCGGCGCACGGGUGAGUAACACGUGGAUAACCUACCCCUUGGUGGUGGAUAACCUUCCGAAAGGAGGGCUAAUACAGCGUAAGACCACGACUUCGAAAGAGGUUGAGGUAAAAAGUGGGCCUCUGUACACAAGCUCACGCCAGGGGAUGGGGUCCGCGGCCCAUCAGCUAGUUGGUAGGGUAACGGCCUACCAAGGCGAAGACGGGUAGCUGGUCUGAGAGGAUGAUCAGCCACACUGGAACUGAGACACGGUCCAGACUCCUACGGGAGGCAGCAGUGGGGAAUCUUGCGCAAUGGACGAAAGUCUGACGCAGCGACGCCGCGUGAGUGAUGAAGGCCUUCGGGUUGUAAAGCUCUGUGGAGAGGGACGAAUAAGUGUCGUCGAAUAGACGGCAUGAUGACGGUACCUUUUAGCAAGCACCGGCUAACUCUGUG
rnacentral:rRNA from 1 species